rnacentral:rRNA from 1 species
CCUACGGGGGGCAGCAGUCGAGAAUCAUUCACAAUGGGGGAAACCCUGAUGGUGCGACGCCGCGUGGGGGAAUGAAGGUCUUCGGAUUGUAAACCCCUGUCAUGUGGGAGCAAAUUAAAAAGAUAGUACCACAAGAGGAAGAGACGGCUAACUCUGUGCCAGCAGCCGCGGUAAUACAGAGGUCUCAAGCGUUGUUCGGAAUCACUGGGCGUAAGGCGUGCGUAGGCGGUUUCGUAAGUCGUGUGUGAAAGGCGCGGGCUCAACCCGCGGACGGCACAUGAUACUGCGAGACUAGAGUAAUGGAGGGGGAACCGGAAUUCUCGGUGUAGCAGUGAAAUGCGUAGAUAUCGAGAGGAACACUCGUGGCGAAGGCGGGUUCCUGGACAUUAACUGACGCUGAGGCACGAAGGCCAGGGGAGCGAAAGGGAUUAGAUACCCGUGUAGUC